rnacentral:sRNA from 1 species
UAGGUCGUUCCAAGUGGCCUCCUUCGCCU